UGGUGGGGUUGUAUGGUGGUGUGUAGAUGGGGUGGUAUGGUGGUGUGGAGAUGGGGUAAGGUGGGGUUGUAUGGUGGUGUGUAGAUGGGGUAAGGUGGGGUGGUAUGAUGGUGUGUAGGUGGGGUAAGGUGGGGUUGUAUGGUGGUGUGUAGAUGGGGUAAGGUGGGGUUGUAUGGUGGUGUGUAGAUGGGGUAAGGUGGGGUGGUAUGAUGGUGUGUAGGUGGGGUGUAGGUGGGGUUGUAUGGUGGUGUGUAGAUGGGGUAAGGUGGGGUUGUAUGGUGGUGUGUAGAUGGGCUAAGAUGGGGUGGUAUGGUGGUGUGUAGAUGGGGUGGUAUGGUGGGGUUGUAUGGUGGUGUGUAGAUGGGGUGGUAUGGUGGUGUGUAGAUGGGCUAAGGUGGGGAUGUAUGGUGGUGUGUAGAUGGGGUGGUAUGGUGGUGUGGAGAUGGGGUAAGGUGGGGUUGUAUGGUGGGGUUGUAUGGUGGUGUGUAGAUGUGGUAUGGUGGGGUGUAGGUGGGGUUGUAUGGUGGUGUGUAGAUUGGGUAAGGUGGGGUUGUAUGGUGGUGUGUAGAUGGGGUAAGGUGGGGUGGUAUGGUGGGGUUGUAUGAUGGUGUGUAGACGGGGUUGUAUGGUGGGGUUGUAUGGUGGUGUGUAGAUGGGGUAAGGUGGGGUUGUAUGGUGGUGUGUAGAUGGGGUAAGGGGGGGUGGUAUGAUGGUGUGUAGGUGGGGUGUAGGUGGGGUUGUAUGGUGGUGUGUAGAUGGGGUAAGGUGGGGUUGUAUGGUGGUGUGUAGAUGGGCUAAGGUGGGGUGGUAUGGUGGUGUGUAGAUGGGGUUGUAUGGUGGUGUGUAGAUGGGGUAAUGGUGGUGUGUAGGUGGGGUAAGGUGGGGUUGUAUGGUGGUGUGUAU
ensembl:lncRNA